rnacentral:rRNA from 1 species
AUUGAACGCUGGCGGCAUGCUUUACACAUGCAAGUCGAACGGUAACAGGGUGCUUGCACCGCUGACGAGUGGCGAACGGGUGAGUAAUGCGUCGGAACGUGCCGAGUAGUGGGGGAUAACGCAUCGAAAGGUGUGCUAAUACCGCAUACGUACUGAGGUAGAAAGUGGGGGACCUUCGGGCCUCACGCUAUUCGAGCGGCCGACGUCUGAUUAGCUAGUUGGUGAGGUAAAGGCUCACCAAGGCGACGAUCAGUAGCGGGUCUGAGAGGAUGAUCGGCCACACUGGGACGGAGACACGGCCCAGACUCCUACGGGAGGCAGCAGUGGGGAAUGUGGGACAAUGGGCGCAAGCCUGAUCCAGCCAUGCCGCGUGUCUGAAGAAGGCCUUCGGGUUGUAAAGGACUUUUGUCCGGGAGCAAAUGCCUGGUGUUAAUAGCAUCGGGAGCUGAGAGUACCGGAAGAAUAAGCACCGGCUAACUACGUGCCAGCAGCCGCCGUAAGAC